CUCUUUGUUCCGGAGUCAACCGGCCUCGGUCCUGGGAUCGCUGAUUCCACGGAGGAGAGCCAUACCUGGGCGUCUCCACCCCCCACCCCACUGUCUCUGGAGACCAAGGCCGGCGCCGGGGGAGGCGGGUGUGCGGGCGCGCGAGCCGAGCCCUUUGUUCAGGAGAACAUUCCUCAGCGCCAGCCUCCCCACCUGGAGAGCCUGUGGUUCCUGUUUCAGGCUUUGCCUUGGAGAAACUCUCGCCGAGUAUGCAGCUCUCAAGCCUGGCUUCUGGCGCAUCCUACUUCAUGGCCUUCAACGGGUCCUUUGACCUCCCUGAACCUCAAUUUUCUCACUUGUAGAAUGGGAACCAAAAUUCUGACGUCGAAUGAUCGCUGUGAAAUUAAAUUAAAUGCCAAAACACAAAUGUAGAGUAUCUGCAGGCAUAAGAAUAUAAGCCCCAGGAGGAGAGG
rnacentral:lncRNA from 1 species